AGAGUUUGAUCCUGGCUCAGGAUGAACGCUGACAGAAUGCUUAACACAUGCAAGUCUAUGAGAAGAUCUACUUCGGUAGAAGGUAUCAUGGCGGACGGGUGAGUAACGCGUAAAGAACUUGCCUCUUAGACUGGGAUAACAGAUGGAAACGUCUGAUAAGACUAGAUAUAAUAGCGACAUGGCAUCAUGUUGUUAUGAAAGGUAACACUAAGAGAGAGCUUUGCGUCCUAUUAGUUAGUUGGUGAGGUAAUGGCUCACCAAGACGAUGAUAGGUAGCCGGCCUGAGAGGGUGAACGGCCACAAGGGGACUGAGAUACGGCCCUUACUCUUACGGGAGGCAGCAGUGGGGAAUAUUGGACAAUGGAGGAAACUCUGAUCCAGCAAUUCUGUGUGCACGAUGAAGGUUUUCGGAUCGUAAAGUGCUUUCAGUAGGGAAGAAGAAAGUGACGGUACCUACAGAAGAAGCGACGGCUAAAUACGUGCCAGCAGCCGCGGUAAUACGUAUGUCGCAAGCGUUAUCCGGAAUUAUUGGGCGUAAAGGGCAUCUAGGCGGUCAAUCAAGUCGAAGGUGAAAACUUGUGGCUCAACCAUAAGCUUGCCUACGAAACUGAUUAACUAGAGUACUGGAGAGGUGGACGGAACUACACGAGUAGAGGUGAAAUUCGUAGAUAUGUGUAGGAAUGCCGAUGAUGAAGAUAGUUCACUGGACAGAAACUGACGCUGAAGUGCGAAAGCUAGGGGAGCAAACAGGAUUAGAUACCCUGGUAGUCCUAGCUGUAAAC
rnacentral:rRNA from 1 species